GAUGACGGCCUUCGGGUUGUAAACCUCUUUCAGUAGGGAAGAAGCGAAAGUGACGGUACCUGCAGAAGAAGCGCCGGCUAACUACGUGCCAGCAGCCGCGGUAAUACGUAGGGCGCAAGCGUUAUCCGGAAUUAUUGGGCGUAAAGAGCUCGUAGGCGGUUUGUCGCGUCUGCCGUGAAAGUCCGGGGCUCAACUCCGGAUCUGCGGUGGGUACGGGCAGACUAGAGUGAUGUAGGGGAGACUGGAAUUCCUGGUGUAGCGGUGAAAUGCGCAGAUAUCAGGAGGAACACCGAUGGCGAAGGCAGGUCUCUGGGCAUUAACUGACGCUGAGGAGCGAAAGCAUGGGGAGCGAACAGGAUUAGAUACCCUGGUAGA
rnacentral:rRNA from 1 species